CAGAGGCAUACAGGGUAGAGGAGUCGUGACGGUUCGGGGUCUUGGGUUAGAGGGGGCGGGGGACAAUCCCAAGCACGGCGGAGGUACCGUCCGCGGCCGUAGGUGGGCAAAGUGGUCGUCACCGGCGGGGUUCGCCGCCACGGGCGCGGAGGGCGGCAGGGUGGCGGAGGGGGGCAUGGUCCGCGUGGGCUACGGCGGCGGGCGGGGCCGAGACUGCUCCAGGCGUGGUAGAAGUAGUGCCCCGAGGGGCACCUGCAGUUCCUCGCCCUCGACGUAUUGGACGACGCGACCGAAGGCCCUAAGCUCCGAAGGGUCUAGUUGAAGUUCCCGCUGGUCGGGUACCCCAAGCGUGAGAAGAGGAUGCGCGUGGUGCGGUAGCGGCGUUUCCGGCGCGACGUCCUAGACCAGAAGCUACGGCUCUGGUUCAGCCGCGACGUGUAGCUCUACCGGUUCUUCUUGGAUAAGUAGUUUUCUCCACACCCUUGACUACGUUUACGAUACCUGGUUUCAUUUGCGAACGCUUGACCACCUCUGAUAUGAGUAAGACGCAUACGAGGAGGAGGUAAGGUGGGUGGGGGUGGUCGACAAAGGUACACCCCUUGACGUCCAAUAUACCGUCGAGGAGGAGGAAUAUUAGGAAUACGACCGAUAGGACACGGCUGCCAUGGUUACUGAAGUGGAAGAGGACACGGUCCGGGUUGUCGUAUACGAGGACACGUCUUGUACUUUCUAUUGGGAGGGACGUUAUGGGAAAAGUAACCUUUAGAACCACUUUGACAACAACUUCUCCUUAACGCCCCGGAGAAGUCACAUGUUGGACCAAAGUUUGUUUACUUUCACAACGCAGUUCUGUCCUUGUGGCAGACAAAAUAACUCAAGCUACUACACUCGCGACGAAGACGACACGUGGUAUGAAAUGUCCCACGAUAACAAGGAUCAAGACCGGCGCCACCCUACGCUUAGGUCAAAAGUUUUUUAGGGAAGCCCGCUUCCUUCCUGAAUCAACCACCGUACCAGCCGUGAGACUUACCACGAGGACAAACUCCCCUACAUAGAACUUGAAAUCGUACUGUAGAACUUAAUAGUAGACGUAACAAAAUCGGUUUAGACAAGGACAGUACACGCUGUAGUCGUAGAAGUAACCCACCUCAAAGACCCCGUACUAGUAGUAGAAGUAAUUCACCUCAAAGACCCUAUAGUAGUAGUAGACUAUCUGUAACGUAACAGUGAUAAAAGUAACAACCGCCAAAGUUGAAGAAAUUUAAUCGAUAACACCAAACUGUUCCGGUGAUACUUACAGAGGAUUGUACGUAAACCGUAGACAGUACUUAUAAAACAUCACAAUACAUCAAAAAGGUCACACGUCAACGUUGUAAAGUACACCAUUACCGUAACGGUGUAAUACUAGACCUGUACGACAUUAUCAUAUUGGCUAAAUAAACCGAACGACUGUUAAGUCACAGCUCCCUAGAACCCUACCAAGUAUAGUAAUAAACAGUACGUACAAGUACUUCCUCGUGUCAAUCAUCCGUAGUACUGUACUGUAAUGAGUAAACUACUUGAGACCUUGUGAGACAAACAGGGUUCUUCGUACGUCCGUAGGCAACGACUAAUUGAAUUAACUGGAAAAACCAUAACAUAAAACGAGGAUCGACUCUCAUCGGCAGUCACAGGUAUUUUAACCUUCACGACGUUCGGAGAAAAAAAAUCAUCGUCUACCAAUGUGGGGAUUCAACAACGUCAAUUAAGCGAUUCUCCUCAAGUACUACGACUACCUCCAUCCGAUCAGGUAUCUCCAACACGUCUACCUCUCCAUGUUCCCUACGGAAGCCUCUCCGCGGAUAAGCGUCGCUGGUGGCUUCUUAGACGAUCGCCGAUGGUUCAGACCUUGGCUGCGGACCGCCAAAGGAAUUCGUACCUAAUUAUUAUCCUAAUUUAUUUAGGAUUGUGAGGGGGAUUAGUUACGAACAAACACAUCAUAAUAGUAGAAGUUUUCGAGGAGGUUUUUGGAACACUCUUUUUACACUCCUCUAUACAUAAAUACAACGAUUUUGAGGAAGUUUGGGUCACCCUUUUAUUCCUCUUUUACUACGUUGUAUAUUACCAGUAA
rnacentral:rRNA from 1 species